rnacentral:rRNA from 1 species
CCUUUGACGUUAGCGGCGGACGGGUGAGUAACACGUGGGUAACCUACCUAUAAGACUGGGAUAACUUCGGGAAACCGGAGCUAAUACCGGAUAAUAUUUCGAACCGCAUGGUUCGAUAGUGAAAGAUGGUUUUGCUAUCACUUAUAGAUGGACCCGCGCCGUAUUAGCUAGUUGGUAAGGUAACGGCUUACCAAGGCGACGAUACGUAGCCGACCUGAGAGGGUGAUCGGCCACACUGGAACUGAGGCACGGUCCAGACUCCUACGGGAGGCAGCAGGC